UAUAUGUGAUGGUGUAGUGCAGCUGAUUGAUAUGAGUAACCAAAAUGUGAUGGUGCUGUGCAGCUGAUUGGCAUUGACAUCGGCCAAUCGGCACGUAGCACCGCCUUUUUAAACCUGAUUGGUCGGUGCUUGGGAUGCGUCACGUCCGACUCCGACGCACUGGUUUGGGUGUCUGUAGCCGCGGCUACAGUGCAUCGUGUGGCGGUGGCUUUUCCCUUGGCUGUGGUGGCUGGAUGACUGUUCAGUUGCAGCUAUUAAUUCCGGCACCUCGCUGUAUUGUAUCGACCAACGAGUGAUUUAGAACGUGUCUGAGUGUGCGCCCAUUGGUAAGUGAAGCACGUAUGAUGUGGUGUGAUCAUUUAAAGGACCAUGUUAAUGGGCUUGUUUGCGCUUUUCCUCCUUAGGAUCCUCCCUUUUCCCCUUUCUCUCUUACGUCGGAUCUUCCUCUGGUAUCAUUUGCUUACUAGCUCCCGUGUUCAUCGCUAUUGCCGUGGUUACUCGAGACCGUCUGCAACUGCUGCUAAUGCUAACGGCGGCGUAUUGGCUGCCGCUUGGACACCACCAAUGCAGCUGCUAGCGGGGACUGCCUGCAAUAACUCUUAGCGUGCUGCUUUGUGCUCCCCUUCAUUCUUUCAUUUGUUUAUUUGUGUUGGAUAAUUGAUUUGUCAACAUAAGCAUUCUUCUGUUUUUUUUGUUGUGUCUAUUUAUGCAAAGUAUUGAUUUUGUUUUUCGUUAUUAAGAGUAUUCUUUUUGUGAAUUUAGUCUUUCUAGUAACAGUUAAUGUUGGGUCUAGUGUAGGUCAGAUGGUGUAAAUACAGCUGUAGCUAUCUUUCAAUUAGAUCAUGUAAAGUAGGUGUUAACCUGAUUGACCCACUUAUUUGUGUUUUGUUGGUUAUUGAUUUUUAUUUUUAUUUAUUUCAGGAACUGAGGUUUCCCCCGGUGGAUGACGGGUCACUUUCCACUGGUGGUGGUGUUUCUCUAUCGUGUGCUGUGGACACUGAGUGCGUGAUUUUUUGAGUGCACUGUGGUGUGUGCGUGUGCUGGGGUAAAGUCUGUCCACUCGUACCCAGUCAGUGGGAACCUCCAAUCCUGGUUUGGUUUUGUUUAUUUAUUGUUUCUUGUGUUUAAUAAUGAAGUGGGAGUUUUUGAGGUAUUUAAGAACCGUACCAUUUGGUAGUUUUAUUCCAAAUAAAUAUUUUUGUACUUUUUCAUUAACUCACGUCUCUGUGCCUUUCUGGGAGAAACGAACCUGUGUCCUUUUCUAAUAGUUGUUUCCCUGGGUAACUCCUGGGGUGGCGUAGUCGGUUAUUUUUAUUUACAGAGAUUUAAACCCUACUCUAUACCCUCG